CAAUGUGGUGGUAUGAUUCCUAUCUUUUUCUUCUAUGGUUUCUGUCUAUUUCUUGUAUGUGGCUGACUUCCAAAUAAUUAGGAGAGGGAUGAAGAUGAGGAGGAUGAUGUUGAGAAUAUCAAGUUGCCCAAGAUUGUUGAUGUGGGGGAUAACAACAAUUGGUAACUAUUCUUUCGACAUGUUUCAGUUUUCAUAUCUUUAAAUGGUCCCAAUAUGUUUACAAAUCUGUGUUACAUGUAGACAUUCGUCAUGUGGGUGUUGCUCUUGCUGUUUUGAAGAUGGAUGUCUACAUGAUCUUGUCACGUGGAUUGUUCAGGUCAAUGUGAUCGUCUCAUGCCAUUUCUUUUGUUGUGAUGAGCUUCGAGUUAUGUGUUUGUUGUGAUGAACUAUGGACCUUCAAUGAUGUUGUGAUGAACCAUGCACUUUCAAUGAUGUUGUUGUGAAUUUGUGAUGAACUAUGGACUUUGUAUUAUGUGGUUUUCACUAGUUAAUGUUUGGCUGUCAACAUUUUCUCAUUUUUUAUGUCAAAGUGUUGAGUGUUAUGCUAUACAAAAUUUCUUUGUUUGGCUGUCAAUAUUUGAUGUUUUGUUGUGUAAAGUUUAAAUGAAGUUCUGUCCAAAAUACAGUAGAAAUGCUGCCCAAUUCUUUCUCUCAUAUCUGUUACAUUGUUACAAUUUUUGUAGAAGAAUUCAUAAAAGAAAGCUUAUUUUUCAUUACUAUGACCAUUUCUUAAAACAAUAGAUUGCUGGAUGUUUCAUUUUUAGCAAUAUAAACUGUUAGUUUUUCAAAGUAUGGGUUUAAUUGCUGAAAAAUAAUCGAGACUGUGGAGUAUAUACUGAUAUACAUAGGUACAAAGGCUCUGGGGGCAGCUGGCUUACGAGCCGGCUCGGUCUGAGCCGAGCCACUCCUAAAA
rnacentral:lncRNA from 1 species